rnacentral:rRNA from 1 species
GACCAUCCUCCAAGGCUAAAUACUCCUGACUGACCGAUAGUGAACCAGUACCGUGAGGGAAAGGCGAAAAGAACCCCGGCGAGGGGAGUGAAAAAGAACCUGAAACCGUGUACGUACAAGCAGUGGGAGCACGCUUAGGCGUGUGACUGCUUACCUUUUGUAUAAUGGGUCAGCGACUUAUAUUCUGUAGCAAGGUUAACCGAAUAGGGGAGCCGAAGGGAAACCGAGUCUUAACUGGGCGUUAAGUUGCAGGGUAUAGACCCGAAACCCGGUGAUCUAGCCAUGGGCAGGUUGAAGGUUGGGUAACACUAACUGGAGGACCGAACCGACUAAUGUUGAAAAAUUAGCGGAUGACUUGUGGCUGGGGGUGAAAGGCCAAUCAAACCGGGAGAUAGCUGGUUCUCCCCGAAAGCUAUUUAGGUAGCGCCUCGUGAAUUCAUCUCCGGGGGUAGAGCACUGUUUCGGCAAGGGGGUCAUCCCGACUUACCAACCCGAUGCAAACUGCGAAUACCGGAGAAUGUUAUCACGGGAGACACACGGCGGGUGCUAACGUCCGUCGUGAAGAGGGAAACAACCCAGACCGCCAGCUAAGGUCCCAAAGUCAUGGUUAAGUGGGAAACGAUGUGGGAAGGCCCAGACAGCCAGGAUGUUGGCUUAGAAGCAGCCAUCAUUUAAAGAAAGCGUAAUAGCUCACUGGUCGAGUCGGCCUGCGCGGAAGAUGUAACGGGGCUAAACCAUGCACCGAAGCUGCGGCAGCGACGCUGAUGCGUUGUUGGGUAGGGGAGCGUUCUGUAAGCCUGUGAAGGUGUGCUGUGAGGCAUGCUGGAGGUAUCAGAAGUGCGAAUGCUGACAUAAGUAACGAUAAAGCGGGUGAAAAGCCCGCUCGCCGGAAGACCAAGGGUUCCUGUCCAACGUUAAUCGGGGCAGGGUGAGUCGACCCCUAAGGCGAGGCCGAAAGGCGUAGUCGAUGGGAAACAGGUUAAUAUUCCUGUACUUGGUGUUACUGCGAAGGGGGGACGGAGAAGGCUAUGUUGGCCGGGCGACGGUUGUCCCGGUUUAAGCGUGUAGGCUGGUUUUCCAGGCAAAUCCGGAAAAUCAAGGCUGAGGCGUGAUGACGAGGCACUACGGUGCUGAAGCAACAAAUGCCCUGCUUCCAGGAAAAGCCUCUAAGCAUCAGGUAACAUCAAAUCGUACCCCAAACCGACACAGGUGGUCAGGUAGAGAAUACCAAGGCGCUUGAGAGAACUCGGGUGAAGGAACUAGGCAAAAUGGUGCCGUAACUUCGGGAGAAGGCACGCUGAUAUGUAGGUGAAGUUUCUUGCUUUUGGAGCUGAAAUCAGUCGAAGAUACCAGCUGGCUGCAACUGUUUAUUAAAAACACAGCACUGUGCAAACACGAAAGUGGACGUAUACGGUGUGACGCCUGCCCGGUGCCGGAAGGUUAAUUGAUGGGGUCAGCGCAAGCGAAGCUCUUGAUCGAAGCCCCGGUAAACGGCGGCCGUAACUAUAACGGUCCUAAGGUAGCGAAAUUCCUUGUCGGGUAAGUUCCGACCUGCACGAAUGGCGUAAUGAUGGCCAGGCUGUCUCCACCCGAGACUCAGUGAAAUUGAACUCGCUGUGAAGAUGCAGUGUACCCGCGGCAAGACGGAAAGACCCCGUGAACCUUUACUAUAGCUUGACACUGAACAUUGAGCCUUGAUGUGUAGGAUAGGUGGGAGGCUUUGAAGUGUGGACGCCAGUCUGCAUGGAGCCGGCCUUGAAAUACCACCCUUUAAUGUUUGAUGUUCUAACGUUGACCCGUUAUCCGGGUUGCGGACAGUGUCUGGUGGGUAGUUUGACUGGGGCGGUCUCCUCCUAAAGAGUAACGGAGGAGCACGAAGGUUGGCUAAUCCUGGUCGGACAUCAGGAGGUUAGUGCAAUGGCAUAAGCCAGCUUGACUGCGAGCGUGACGGCGCGAGCAGGUGCGAAAGCAGGUCAUAGUGAUCCGGUGGUUCUGAAUGGAAGGGCCAUCGCUCAACGGAUAAAAGGUACUCCGGGGAUAACAGGCUGAUACCGCCCAAGAGUUCAUAUCGACGGCGGUGUUUGGCACCUCGAUGUCGGCUCAUCACAUCCUGGGGCUGAAGUAGGUCCCAAGGGUAUGGCUGUUCGCCAUUUAAAGUGGUACGCGAGCUGGGUUUAGAACGUCGUGAGACAGUUCGGUCCCUAUCUGCCGUGGGCGCUGGAGAACUGAGGGGGGCUGCUCCUAGUACGAGAGGACCGGAGUGGACGCAUCACUGGUGUUCGGGUUGUCAUGCCAAUGGCACUGCCCGGUAGCUAAAUGCGGAAGAGAUAAGUGCUGAAAGCAUCUAAGCACGAAACUUGCCCCGAGAUGAGUUCUCCCUGACUCCUUGAGAGUCCUGAAGGAACGUUGAAGACGACGACGUUGAUAGGCCGGGUGUGUAAGCGCAGCGAUGCGUUGAGCUAACCGGUACUAAUGAACCGUGAGGCUUAACC